AUGAGGCAGACCAUGGGUUCUCAUUGUGAUAGUGUAGAAUGUUGGUUAACUGUGGACUCCCUGGCUGUGUCUCAA
rnacentral:pre_miRNA from 1 species